UCAAAUCUACCGGUAGAGCCAUUUUUGUAGUUUAUCCCGAGAGCACGUCUUAAACACGUGAGGAAAUCAAUGUAACCCGAUUACCACCUAUAGCGUCUAAAGAAACCCUAAUUCAAAGAAAUUUUUUAGGUGUAGAAGAUGUACGGUUCCACCGACGAUUCAGAGCCAGCCGCUUUCAGGAAGGCUGAAAAGAAAUACAAGCUAUAUUACGACAAUACCCGAAAGAGAAAGCAGCAACCGAGACCAGUAGAUUUGUCGGAGGUAAUUGAUUUUAAGUCAAUUUCAGAGUCUUACCAUCGAAAUGGUGGACUUCCCUCGGGCAUUUUCCGAAUUCAAUGCGAUUUUGAUAGUCCUGUCUUCUGCUUGGCAAGUCAUCCCGGGUUUUAUUUCAUUCCUGGAGCAUUACCUGUUGAGGAGCAAUGCCGAUGGAUAAAGGAGAGUUUAACAAGCUUUCCUCAACCUCCUAACAGGACCAAUCACAAUGCAAUUUAUGGGACUCUGCAGGACUUAUUUGCUGCUGCCAAGGAUAAUAAAGUUUUGAUUCACGAGGAGCAGUUUCGUGGGACCAAUAACUCAGAGGUUGAAAUCAUUCAGAACGACACAAAUGUUCCCUCAUGGAAUUUUUUGGAUCAAUCAGAUGCAUUAUCCAGAGGAGUUACAUGCAGAUCAGUACCAGCCUCUGUUUUGCUUCGUAAGUUACGGUGGAGCACCCUUGGCUUGCAGUUUGACUGGUCGAAGUAUCUAUGUUAUGUCAUCUGCUUCUGUGCUGUACUAUGUGUUUGUGUGAUAUCUCGUGACUUGAGCCGAGGGUCUUUCGGAAACAGCCUUUCUACUUCAUCAGAGGUAGAGCGGAGCUAUAAUAUUUCUCUGCCUCACAACAAGAUACCUGAUGCACUUUGUCUGUUGGCUGAAAGAAUGGCAGCACCUACCCUGCCAUUAGGUGAAGCGUUCCAUGCAGAAGCAGCAAUUGUCAAUUACUUUGGUCUAGGUGACACACUCGGUGGCCACGUUGAUGACCUGGAGAAGGAUUGGAAUAAGCCUAUUGUUAGCAUGAGUUUGGGUUGUAAAGGCAUUUUCCUUAUUGGGGGAAAGUCUAGGGAGAUUCCACCUCUUGCAAUGUUUGUUCGAAGUGGUGAUGUUAUUCUCAUGGCAGGACAAGCAAGGGAAUGCUUCCACGAUUGUCGACAAACAGCCGUCAAACAAGGCAAGAAUUUCUAGAAAGGACUCUGAGAGACUACGUUAGAAGUACAAAACAUUUUUCCGAAAUGUAACACUUUCUGAUGACCAUGCUGUCAAAAAAUCAAUAUUUUUCCAGAACAUUGAACUUUCUACCUGCUUGUCGAAAAGGGGUACCUAGGAUCUUCACUGAUAGAGAACAUGCUGAGAUAUCCUCCCUUGAAUUGAAGUUUUCUGAUGAAGAGCAUUCUGCUUUCUUGGAGUACAUUAGGACUUCUAGAAUCAAUAUCAAUAUCAGACAAGUAUUCUAGAUUCUGUUUUCUCCUUGAAUGUUUUGUGGAGAUGUAAUACGAAGUAAACAUCAUUUUGCAUAAAUUGGGUAAACAUGAGAAAAUUGGAAAAAACAGUUUUCCUCCGUACCA